GAUGGUGUGGUCGAGUGGUAAGAUGUCACGUUGUGGCCGCGCCAGCCUAGGCUCGAUUCCCAACACCGUCA
rnacentral:tRNA from 2 species